rnacentral:rRNA from 1 species
UACGUAGGUGGCGAGCGUUGUCCGGAUUUACUGGGCGUAAAGGGCGUGCAGGCGGUUUGUUAAGUGCAGGGUGAAAGCUCCCGGCUCAACUGGGAGAGGUCCUUGCAUACUGGCGAACUCGAGGGAGGCAGAGGAAAGUGGAAUUCCCGGUGUAGUGGUGAUAUGCGUAGAUAUCGGGAGGAACACCGGUGGCGAAGGCGGGUCUCUGGGCCGUAACUGACGCUGAGGAGCGAAAGCGUGGGGAGCGAACAGG